UGUGUUACUGGUGUCCUCGGGCUAAUUACAGACUACGCGCACGCAAAUUCUUUGAAACCCCAGCUUUCCAGGGGGUGUGAAGUGUACGUGCUCUUUGAGAGCAGUUAAUCAAAAGACGGUGACAAUCCAUUGGUGGGCUUCACUUUGAUCUAAACGAUUUAAAAUUUUAAAAAAAGAGAGAGAGACAAGAGAUCGGAGGAGCUGCUGGUGUGCUUCGCGAGCACCAAGAAGCCGCCCAAUGCGGGCACCUAACUCCACCCCUUCUGGUACCUCGACCAUAAGAACCCCGGCUGCCCAGAAGGAGGCGUCAUUUUGGCAAGUGUGAACCGCCAGACGGAGCUCCUGGGCAAACAGACUCUGAUCCUUUGGGUGAAGCCGAACCCUUUUUGUUUAUUUGUGUGGCCGAGGACAAGACGGCCAACGCCUCGGAAGCGUUUUCUUUUGUUUUAGAAUUUGUGUGUUAGUUAGAUGGCACCCUGUCAUUCCUUCACUCGGUCACAAUAGUAAAGGCAUUGGGAUAUUAGAUUAAUUAUCUGUUUUGUUUUUUAGUACAAAUUAUUAUUGCCUUACAAUGAACACAUGAGGUUCAGCCCAAUAGAGCAGUUGCUUUAACAGGCUCAUUAUCAACUUUGUUGGCCUUUACUGAUCUUUUGUUAGAAGUGAAACGUGCCUUAACUGGCUUGUAUUUGAGUAAUACUUUACUAAACCAUUGGCUAAGCCCACCUAAUCCUGAGGGGGGUUUGGAGAUGGUCUCAGUGAGCAUAUGGCACAAGGCAAGAACAAUCCCUUGGACAGGGUGCCAGUCAAUCGUAGGGUGACACACUCAAACCCACGCCACCCUGGAGCCAAUUUAGUGUCACCUGUUCACCUAACCUGCAUGUCUUUGGAUUGUAGGAGGACAUCCAUGCAGACAUGUAAGCUCCACUCAGGGAGGAUCCGGGACAUGAACCCCAGUCCCCAUACUGCAAGACAGCAGAGGUACCACCGUGCCACCCGUAUUUGAAUAAAUUUCUUUAUGGUGCGGACCUGCACCACCACCACCUAC